rnacentral:rRNA from 1 species
GUCUACGACCAUACCACGUUGAAAGCACGACAUCUCGUCSGRUCUGUCAAGUUAAGCAACGUUGGGCCUGGUUAGUACUUGGAUCGGAGACGGCCUGGGAAUCCCAGGUGUUGUAGACAUAU